CAGGAGGUCAAUGUCACUCUUCUCCGGGAUGAACUUGAGGAGCUGCAAAGAGCAGGCGCAAGUCACACAAGCAACUGGUUUCCCAAAGGAUCCAAAAAACUGAGAGGGAAGAGAUUUGGGGAAGAUGUCACUUUUCCUCAUCUGACUUUGCCUUGGAGUCAGAUGGGAGAAUGACUCCUGGAGAACACUUAGCCUUUUCCAGCUUUCCCCAAGAAAGGCUGGCCCAGGGAGGCUUCUAUAAACCUUCUCCCUAACUCUU